GAUGAACGCUGGCGGCGUGCCUAAUACAUGCAAGUCGAGCGAACAGACGAGGAGCUUGCUCCUCUGACGUUAGCGGCGGACGGGUGAGUAACACGUGGAUAACCUACCUAUAAGACUGGGAUAACUUCGGGAAACCGGAGCUAAUACCGGAUAAUAUAUUGAACCGCAUGGUUCAAUAGUGAAAGACGGUUUUGCUGUCACUUAUAGAUGGAUCCGCGCCGCAUUAGCUAGUUGGUAAGGUAACGGCUUACCAAGGCAACGAUGCGUAGCCGACCUGAGAGCGUGGUCGGCGACACUGGAACUGAGACACGCUCAAGGCGCCUACGAGAGGCAGCAGUAGGGAAUCGGACGCAGUAGGCGAGAGCCUGGCAGAACGACGCGGAGUGAGAGAUAAAAAUCUUGGGAGCGGAAUGCUCUGUUAUGAGUGAAAAACAAAUGUGUAAGUAGCUGUACACGGCGUGACGGUACCGGGUAAGAAAGCCACGGCUAACUACGUG
rnacentral:rRNA from 1 species